UUACGGCCAUGUUACGAAGAGACGCCGAUUAUCGAACGAUCACCGAAGUUAAGCAAAGCCGGGCUUGGUUAGUACCUAGAUGGGUGACCGAUUGGGAAUAUCA